rnacentral:tRNA from 1 species
GCCUGGGUGGCUCAGUCGGUUAAGCGGCCGACUUCGGCUCAGGUCAUGAUCUCGCGGUCCGUGAGUUCGAGCCCCGCCUCGGGCC